GAUGAACGCUGGCGGCGUGCCUAAUACAUGCAAGUCGAGCGAACAGACGAGGAGCUUGCUCCUCUGACGUUAGCGGCGGACGGGUGAGUAACACGUGGAUAACCUACCUAUAAGACUGGGAUAACUUCGGGAAACCGGAUCUAAUACCGGAUAAUAUAUUGAACCGCAUGGUUCAAUAGUGAAAGACGGUUUUGCUGUCACUUAUAGAUGGUUCCGCGUCGCAUUAGCUAGUUGGUAAGGUAACGGCUUACCAAGGCUACGAUGCGUAGCCGACCUGAGAGGGUGAUCGGCCACACUGGAACUGAGACACGGUCCAGACUCCUACGGGAGGCAGCAGUAGGGAAUCUUCCGCAAUGGGCGAAAGCUUGACGGAGCAACGCCGCGUGAGUGAUGAAGGUCUUCGGAUCGUAAAACUCUGUUAUUAGGGAAGAACAAAUGUGUAAGUAACUAUGCACGUCUUGACGGUACCUAAACAGAAAGCCACGGCUAACUACGUG
rnacentral:rRNA from 1 species